rnacentral:rRNA from 1 species
GUGAACGCUGGCGGUAGGCCUAACACAUGCAAGUCGAACGGCAGCACAGUAAGAGCCUGCUCUUACGGGUGGCGAGUGGCGGACGGGUGAGGAAUACAUCGGAAUCUACUUUUUCGUGGGGGAUAACGUAGGGAAACUUACGCUAAUACCGCAUCCGACCUACGGGUGAAAGCAGGGGAUCUUCGGACCUUGCGCGAUUGAAUGAGCCGAUGUCGGAUUAGCUAGUUGGCGGGGUAAAGGCCCACCAAGGCGACGAUCCGUAGCUGGUCUGAGAGGAUGAUCAGCCACACUGGAACUGAGACACGGUCCAGACUCCUACGGGAGGCAGCAGUGGGGAAUAUUGGACAAUGGGCGCAAGCCUGAUCCAGCCAUACCGCGUGGGUGAAGAAGGCCUUCGGGUUGUAAAGCCCUUUUGUUGGGAAAGAAAAGCAGCAGGUUAAUACCCCGCUGUUCUGACGGUACCCAAAGAAUAAGCACCGGCUAACUUCGUG